rnacentral:rRNA from 1 species
UACGUAGGGGGCAAGCGUUGUCCGGAAUCAUUGGGCGUAAAGCGCGUGUAGGCGGCUAGGUAAGUCUGCUCUGAAAGCCCGGGGCUCAACCCCCGGGAGGCGGGUGGAUACUGUCUAGCUCGAGUCCGGAAGAGGAGUGUGGAAUUCCUGGUGUAGCGGUGAAAUGCGCAGAUAUUAGGAGGAACACCAAGUGGCGAAGGCAGCACUCUCGGACGUGACUGACGCUGAGACGCGAAAGCGUGGGGAUCAAAACAGG